rnacentral:rRNA from 1 species
UGGGUAACCUGCCUCAAAGAGGGGAAUAGCCUCCCGAAAGAGAGAUUAAUACCGCAUAAUAUGUUUAGGUCGCAUGACUUUAACAUCAAAGGAUUUUCUUUUAGAAAUUCCACUUUGAGAUGGACCCGCGGCGCAUUAGCUAGUUGGUGAGGUAACGGCUCACCAAGGCAACGAUGCGUAGCCGACCUGAGAAGGUGAUCGGCCACAUUGGAACUGAGACACGGUCCAGACCUCUACGGGAG